GAUGAACGCUGGCGGCGUGCUUAACACAUGCAAGUCGAACGAUGAAGCCCAGCUUGCUGGGUGGAUUAGUGGCGAACGGGUGAGUAACACGUGAGUAACCUGCCCUUAACUCUGGGAUAAGCCUGGGAAACUGGGUCUAAUACCGGAUAGGAGCGUCCACCGCAUGGUGGGUGUUGGAAAGAUUUAUCGGUUUUGGAUGGACUCGCGGCCUAUCAGCUUGUUGGUGAGGUAAUGGCUCACCAAGGCGACGACGGGUAGCCGGCCUGAGAGGGUGACCGGCCACACUGGGACUGAGACACGGCCCAGGCUCCUACGGGAGGCAGCAGUGGGGAAUAUUGCACAAUGGGCGCAAGCCUGAUGCAGCGACGCCGCGUGAGGGAUGACGGCCUUCGGGUUGUAAACCUCUUUCAGUAGGGAAGAAGCGAAAGUGACGGUACCUGCAGAAGAAGCACCGGCUAACUACGUG
rnacentral:rRNA from 1 species